rnacentral:rRNA from 1 species
UACGUAGGGCGCAAGCGUUGUCCGGAUUUAUUGGGCGUAAAGAGCUCGUAGGCGGUUUGUCGCGUCUUCCGUGAAAACUGGGGGCUUAACUUCCAGCUUGCGGUGGAUACGGGCUGACUGGAGUGCGGCAGGGGAGACUGGAAUUCCUGGUGUAGCGGUGAAAUGCGCAGAUAUCAGGAAGAACACCAGUGGCGAAGGCGCUCUACUGGGCCGUAACUGACACUGAGGGACGAAAGCUAGGGGAGCGAAAGGG